AGAGUUUGAUCCUGGCUCAGAGCGAACGUUAGCGGCGGGCCUAACACAUGCAAGUCGAGGGAGAAAGUGGCUUCGGCCAUGAGUAAACCGGCGGACGGGUGAGUAACACGUGGGUAAUGUACCUACCGGCGGGGGAUAACAAUCCGAAAGGAUUGCUAAUACCGCAUUCGCUGGCGGGGUCUCCGGAUCCUGCCAGGAAAGAUGGCCUCUCAGCGAAGCUAUCACCGGUAGCUCAGCCCGCGUCCCAUCAGCUAGUUGGCGAGGUAAUGGCUCACCAAGGCGAAGACGGGUAGCUGGUCUGAGAGGAUGAUCAGCCACACUGGGACUGAGACACGGCCCAGACUCCUACGGGAGGCAGCAGUGGGGAAUAUUGGGCAAUGGGCGCAAGCCUGACCCAGCCACGCCGCGUGAGUGAUGAAGGCCUUCGGGUCGUAAAGCUCUGUGGGGAGGGACGAAUCAGUUGCUGGCUAACAUCCAGCGACCCUGACGGUACCUCCUUAGCAAGCACC
rnacentral:rRNA from 1 species